UGGGUGACGAGUGGCGGACGGGUGAGUAAUGUCUGGGGAUCUGCCCGAUAGAGGGGGAUAACCACUGGAAACGGUGGCUAAUACCGCAUAACGUCGCAAGACCAAAGAGGGGGACCUUCGGGCCUCUCACUAUCGGAUGAACCCAGAUGGGAUUAGCUAGUAGGCGGGGUAAUGGCCCACCUAGGCGACGAUCCCUAGCUGGUCUGAGAGGAUGACCAGCCACACUGGAACUGAGACACGGUCCAGACUCCUACGGGAGGCAGCAGUGGGGAAUAUUGCACAAUGGGCGCAAGCCUGAUGCAGCCAUGCCGCGUGUAUGAAGAAGGCCUUCGGGUUGUAAAGUACUUUCAGCGGGGAGGAAGG
rnacentral:rRNA from 1 species